CUUUCUAAAGUUGUAAAAUUCCUUUGGAUUUUUGAGUAAAACCUUCGAACUUCCGGCGAUGUUAAGGCCCUGUCACACUAUUGCGUAUGAGAGAAACGUAUGAGAAGCGUAUGAAAAUUAAUGACAUAAUUUUCAUACGCACAAAAAUCCUUUGAAAUGCCAGCGUAUGAGUACCGUACAUCUGGCGUACGUACCUCUAGCGUAUUCAGCGUGUGCCUAGAGUAUGCUUAUCGUAUAAAGCAUACGUCCGAUACGCACAAAAUUUUUGAGCAUGCUUAAAAAAACUUUUCUGCCUCGCCGUAUACCAGCGUAUGCCACCGUACGCGACCGUGCUUGAAACGUAUACAACCUAUGCCUAACGUACCCCUAGCGUAUGUCAGCGUAUACCGGCGUAUGAGUCGGAUAUUUUUCAUACGCUGGCACUGAUAUGAUCGCGGACGAGGGUCACCGAACGCCAGGGAUAAAUUGACUACCGCAA